rnacentral:hammerhead_ribozyme from 2 species
CCCGCGUCUGGACCUGAUGCCGGUCCACUGAUGAGCCCAUGGCAGGGCGAAACGCGAG